rnacentral:rRNA from 1 species
AUUGAACGCUGGCGGCAGGCCUAACACAUGCAAGUCGAACGGUAACAGGAAGAAGCUUGCUUCUUUGCUGACGAGUGGCGGACGGGUGAGUAAUGUCUGGGAAACUGCCUGAUGGAGGGGGAUAACUACUGGAAACGGUAGCUAAUACCGCAUAACGUCGCAAGACCAAAGAGGGGGACCUUCGGGCCUCUUACCAUCGGAUGUGCCCAGAUGGGAUUAGCUAGUAGGUGGGGUAACGGCUCACCUAGGCGACGAUCCCUAGCUGGUCUGAGAGGAUGACCAGCCACACUGGAACUGAGACACGGUCCAGACUCCUACGGGAGGCAGCAGUGGGGAAUAUUGCACAAUGGGCGCAAGCCUGAUGCAGCCAUGCCGCGUGUAUGAAGAAGGCCUUCGGGUUGUAAAGUACUUUCAGCGGGGAGGAAGGGAGUAAAGUUAAUACCUUGGCUCAUUGACGUUACCCGCAGAAGAAGCACCGGCUAACUCCGUG